AUUGAACGCUGGCGGCAUGCCUUACACAUGCAAGUCGAACGGCAGCACGGGAGCAAUCCUGGUGGCGAGUGGCGAACGGGUGAGUAAUAUAUCGGAACGUGCCCAGUCGUGGGGGAUAACGCAGCGAAAGCUGUGCUAAUACCGCAUACGAUCUAAGGAUGAAAGCGGGGGAUCGCAAGACCUCGCGCGAUUAGAGCGGCCGAUAUCAGAUUAGGUAGUUGGUGGGGUAAAGGCUCACCAAGCCAACGAUCUGUAGCUGGUCUGAGAGGACGACCAGCCACACUGGGACUGAGACACGGCCCAGACUCCUACGGGAGGCAGCAGUGGGGAAUGUUGGACAAUGGGCGAAAGCCUGAUCCAGCAAUGCCGCGUGCAGGAAGAAGGCCUUCGGGUUGUAAACUGCUUUUGUACGGAGCGAAAAGGUCUCCUCUAAUACAGGGGGCUCAUGACGGUACCGUAAGAAUAAGCACCGGCUAACUACGUGCCAGCCGCCACCGUAA
rnacentral:rRNA from 1 species